UUCUUUAAUGAGCCUUACCAUCAUUUCUUUUCAAAGGAUUUUGGUAAACAUGCUUGGAAGUUACACGCUCUUUCACUACGACUUUAUUUAUUUAUGAAGUUAUAAAAUACAGCUUCGACUUGAUGCUUAGCACUGAAGAAGCAGUGAUAAUAAAAAGUGAAAGAGCUAUUGAGG
rnacentral:ncRNA from 1 species